CUUGGUCAUUUAGAGGAAGUAAAAGUCGUAACAAGGCUUCCGUAGGUGAACCUGCGGAAGGAUCAUUAGUGAACGCCCUCACGGGCUUAUAACUAUUCCAAACCUCUGUGAACCGUGCCCUUCGGGGCUAUUUUACAAACAUGGUGUAAUGAACGUCAUAUAUCAUAACAAAACAAAACUUUCAACAACGGAUCUCUUGGCUCUCGCAUCGAUGAAGAACGCAGCGAAAUGCGAUAAGUAAUGUGAAUUGCAGAAUUCAGUGAAUCAUCGAAUCUUUGAACGCACCUUGCGCCCUCUGGUAUUCCGGAGGGCAUGCCUGUUUGAGUGUCAUGUAGACUCAAUCCCUCGGGUUUCCGAGGAGAUUGGACUUGGGUGUUGCCGCUCUGCCGGCUCGCCUUAAAAGACUUAGCGGGAUAGCACCGUAGUCGGCGUAAUAAGUUUCGUCGGUGAAGGUUGUGAUGACUGCUUACAAUCGCCCUCGGGCAAUUUUUGACUCUGACCUCAAAUCAGGUAGGACUACCCGCUGAACUUAAGCAUAUCAAUAAGCGGAGGA
rnacentral:rRNA from 1 species